UCAUAGUGGAUCCCAGUUGUGAAUAGUAUCAGCUGAUGCUAAUCUGCAAUCAAGACAUCUGAUGAGAAGUAGCAUUGCUGGUCUUGAAAAAGCAGACGUGUUCCUCUCGGUCGGUACCCAGCCAAGGGUGGAAGCUGCCACAUGGUAAAUGCCAGAAUCCGAAAGACAGUCUGUGCAACCCAAGCUAAGGUUGGGGUUAACUUGGGUUGCACAGACCCAAACUGAUUUCAACCAUGAUCACCAGCAUCUUGGCACAGACCCUCAAAACAGUUGUUGAAAUCGCUGAGGGUCCGCUACCCGUUUUCCUCUGCCCUAGUGAAUGCCAAAACCCUGUGAUCAUUGUUGGUGCAGGUCUUUUUGAGAGGAAGGACAUGGAUGCCAUUUUUUCUGCUAUUUCACCAUUGCAAAACGUGCCAACGUUGUCAGACCUGAUUGGAAUGGUUUCCAUGUAUUGCUUCUUAAUGCAAACACUCAUAAAUUACAUAUGACCAUGCAUGAUGCAAGCACUCAUAAAAUUACAAGAAAAAGGCCGUCUCGGGCAAUAAAGAUAACAAUAUAACUAUUCCAAUAAUGGAGAUUGACCCUUUCGUUUUGUUAUUGAUACAAAACCCAUUAUUUAACACGAGGGAGAUUCAUGAAGGAAGCAAGCAAUAAGCUCACCUUACAGCCCCGUAUACAAGGGCAAAUGAUGCAGAAAAUAACAGGACAGUACUACUCUAAUGGAAAGUACAUAUUAAGAAUCAUACCAAAACGCAUUUCAUUCCUAAUCUCACGGAAAGAUGCCAACAAUGGUAGCAAUGGCGUGUGUAGCCAGGUACUCAAGGCUUCCACAGGAGGGUGGUCUCUGCUAUCAUCGAAGUGACCACAUAUGGAUCCAUGUUAGACGCAGGCCUCCUGUCCUCAAAAUAGCCUUUGCCUGCCUUUUCUGUGUCCCUGCCAACUCGGAUGGAAGCCCCACGGUUGGCAACGCCCUAUA